GGGGAUUUAGCUCAGCGGUAGAGCGCUUGCCUAGCAGGUGCAAGGCCCUGGGUUCGAUCCCCAGCUCCG
rfam:Rattus norvegicus chromosome 9, whole genome shotgun sequence.